rnacentral:rRNA from 1 species
AACUGGUUUGGGAAAACCAAAUAUAUUAUAUAUUUUGCUUUGUUCAAAAUAAGGUUUUCUAAUAAAUUAUGUUUUUAUCAGAUAUGACAGAAUCUUUUUUAAAAUCUCUUCAAUAUGCUUUUAUUGUUUUUGAGAGGUUUUGUUACUUUGAGUAAAAUUAAGUGUACAUAACAGACGGGUAGUCAUGAUUGAGUUCAUUGUGUUUGAAUACUACAGCAUGGAAUAACAAAUAUGAAUAAGCUAAUUAUUUUUUUUUUCAUUAUUUUUUUUGAUAUUCUUAUUAGCUUAGUUACGAUUAAUAGGAGUAGCUUUGGGGGCAUUCGUAUUCAGAUGUCAGAGGUGAAAUUCUAAGAUUUUCUGGAGACGGACUACUGCGAAAGCAUUUGCCUAAUCUAUUUCCAUUA